AACGUAGGAGACAAACGUUAUCCGGAGUUACUGGGCGUAAAGGGCGUGCAGGUGGUCUGUUAAGUCUGGCGUGAAAGCUCUCGGCUAAACCGGGAGAGGUCGUUGGAUACUGGCGGACUAGAGGACGGUAGAGGCGUGUGGAAUUCCGGGUGUAGUGGUGAAAUGCGUAGAGAUCCGGAGGAACACCAGUGGCGAAGGCGACACGCUGGGCCGUGCCUGACACUAAAACGCGACAGCAUGGGGAGCGAACGGG
rnacentral:rRNA from 1 species